AACGAACGCUGGCGGCAUGCCUAACACAUGCAAGUCGAACGAGACCUUCGGGUCUAGUGGCGCACGGGUGCGUCACGCGUGGGAACCUGCCCUUAGGUUCGGAAUACCUCCCCGAAAGGGGUGCUAAUACCGGAUAAUGUCUUCGGACCAAAGAUUUAUCGCCUUUGGAUGGGCCCGCGUUGUAUUAGCUAGUUGGUAGUGUAAAAGCCUACCACGGCGACGAUCCUUAGCUGGUCUGAGAGGAUGAGCAGCCACACUGGGACAGAGACACGGCCGAGACUCCUACGGGAGGGAGCAGUGGGGAAUAUUGGAAAAGGGGCGAAAGCCUGAUCCAGCAAGGCCGCGUGAGUGAUGAAGGCGGUAGGGUAGUAAAGCUCUUUUACCCGGGAUGAUAAUGACGGUACCGGGAGAAUAAGCACCGGCUAACUCCGUG
rnacentral:rRNA from 1 species